GGGGAGAUGCCAGAGUGGUUGAAUGGGGCCGCCUGCUAAGCGGUUGUGGGGUCACAAAGCUCCACCCAGGGUUCGAAUCCCUGUCUCCCCG
rnacentral:tRNA from 1 species